rnacentral:misc_RNA from 1 species
UUUUGUAAGAAAAAUAGUUUAGAAGAUAUAAAGCAUCGAAUACAGUGGUGUGAUAUGUUUUUAAAGUAUGUAAAGAAAUUGAUAAUCUGUGAGUGACGGUGGUCGGUUGAAGUCUCAAGUAAUACAGGUAGGGAAGACAGUAAUUUUUCGACGCUAAUUAUCGGCGAAGGAAGAAUGAAUUAUUUUAAAGAAUUGGAAGACUUAUCGAAGACGGGAAUAGAAACUGUGCAGUGAUCGUUUGGU